UACGUAGGGUGCGAGCGUUGUCCGGAAUUAUUGGGCGUAAAGGGCGCGUAGGCGGCCUGCUAAGUCGGACGUGAAAUCCCUCGGCUCAACCGGGGAACUGCGUCCGAUACUGGUGGGCUCGAAUCCGGGAGAGGGAUGUGGAAUUCCAGGUGUAGCGGUGAAAUGCGUAGAUAUCUGGAGGAACACCGGUGGCGAAGGCGGCAUCCUGGACCGGUAUUGACGCUGAUGCGCGAAAGCCAGGGGAGCAAACGGG
rnacentral:rRNA from 1 species